GAAAAUUGGCGACAGGCGCACGGUGUCUAAAUCUAGGUGUCCACCAAUACUUCCACCUCCCGCCUCCUUCAGUGUCGUGAGUUCCUCCAUUACCAGAUGAAAUUGAUUUUCUUUUUUCUCAAAAUUUUAUUUUUUAGAUUCUAUCAAAAUCGAUUUCUUUCUUCACAAAAAUUGAUUUGUUGAAAUCGAUUUUAUUGCUUCUUUUCUCAUCUGUGAAAUCCAUUGAUUAUUUGAAAUCGACGUUGAAGGAUUCAGAAUCGGAAGUCACAGGUUAAUCAAAUCGUUAAGAGUUUCAGUCUCAAUAUUGAAAUCGAUUUGGAAGUUCUGGAAUCGGAAUUUGAAAACGGUAAUCAUUCAGAAGCAAAAACGAAACUGAAAUUGGAAUCGGAGCUUGCAAGCAUUCGGUGAUGUAGGCUCGUAUGUUACAACCGAUUCACAUUCAGAGUUUUGGAAUCAGAACUUAAAAUCCUUCGAAUCAAAAUCGGAGAUAUGCGUUUGGUGUUCAAGGCUCGGGUUUUUCGUCUCACAAUCAAUUUUUGAAUCUCAAAAUUGAAAUCGCUUUGAAAUUCAUAAACGAUUCGAAAGCAGAACAAUCUCAUCGAAUCGUUCAGAAUUUGGAUGUCAUCGGAACGCUGGGCAGUGUUGAUUCGAUGGCAAACUUGAUUUUGACUUUUACAAGUCAACUACGUGUUUUAUCAGAUUAAAUGAAGAAGAUGACUUCAUUUACAAUUUCAGCCCUCGGAAGUUACAAAGAUUGACAGAAUUAUCCCUGUUUCUAAAUCCUUUACUAAUCCAUGGUUUUAACCAUUCAGGGCAUCUCAUGUUUACAAUCAACGCCAACAACCAGAUUUUGAUCAGAACCGACAGUUCCGAACGCAAGGAUAUCUACCACAAUGUUAUGGACAAUUUUGGCGACUUAUCUACUCUAAUAAAUGAAGGUUUUUUGUCACAUGUCCUCUUCUUCUUCAUUUGGACACAUGGCAUUUUCUAAAAUUUUAAAUUUUCUAUUUUCCACUUGUCAUUUUAUUGUAUUUUUCAUUUUAUGAAAUUAAAAUUCCACAUUUAAUAUCUAAGGUAAUAUAUAUGUAAGGUAUUUAUUAGAAAAUGGUUUAUAUAUGUAAUGUAUCCAAUACAUUAAAGUCUUAUUAAUUUUAAUAAUUCAAAAAAUUUCUCAUUUUUCUUCUAAAUUCAAGCUUUUCAAAUUGUUAAAAUUUUAUAUUUGAUUUUUUUUUUAAAUAAACUCAUGUAAUAUAUGGGUCUCACACCUAGUGGUUCUAAUAUAGGACUAUGGUAAAUGAGAGGAAGCAAAACCAGGACCUCCAGCUGGAUGCGGUAAUGAAUGUUUUUGUAAAAUUCUUCUACUUUCUUUUAGUUGGCAUUGACAUAUUGGGAACGUUUGUGCUUGAAAUUGGAAUGAUUUAGUGCUAACAUUCUACUGUUACUUUUUUUGGAAUGAUUUUAGUGCUAACUUGCUAGUGUUAAUUUUACAUUCCAAUAUUCUAUCUUUGACUUCAAUUUCACCAUUCUACUCAUAAACUUUUUUUGCUAUUAAUUUUAUUUUUCUUUUUCAUUGUCGACUAUUUAUUUUUUAGUUGUAAUCUAAGUUUUGUAUUAUCUAUGAAAAAUGAAUAGUAUGAAUAUUUGUUUUUGAAUCUCGAAAUUGUAGCUAGUUGGUUUGUUUAUCAACCAUAGUAAAUUUAGUUUAUUCAACAUGAUAUAGGUUUUAAUUGCUACCUUACCUCUUUGUUUAUAUAAUUUAAUUUUAUUCUUUGAAUUGCCUUGUACUUUGUUGUGGCAAUUUAUGAACUAACAACAUCACAUGGUUGAAGUUAUUUGCUAAUAUAUGUAUUUCUUGAGAUUUUACAUAAUUUUUUUGUCCUCUAAAUGUUCGAUGAAAUGUUUAUAAAAUCUCAUCUCUUUCAUUGUAGUUUUAGGAUUACAUUCUAUUCUGUCAGAAUAUAUUCUGCCAGAAUAAAAUCUAUGUAUUCUGUCAUAUUCUAUGUAUUCUACCAGAAUAUAUAAAGUGAUAAUUAAUUGCAAGUAACAUGUUUUUAACCAUUAUUAGUUGUUGUUGUAUUUGUGAUAGGAAUGGCUGGAAGAAUGCAUUGAAGACCUAAUAGGAAUAACUUGAAGAAUGAAUAACAUUUGAUCAUACUCACAAUUUUAGAAUGUUGUUAUUUUUUUAGAAUUUUAUUCAGUUUUGUUGAUAUUCUUUUAGAAUAUGUAUACUUAUAUUAAAAUGUAUAAGGCUUUUAAUCUGUAAGAAUAUGUAUGAAUUUGUAGUUAAGUUCGGAUGUAUAAGAAUAUAUUAGAAUGUUGUUAUUUUUUAACCUCGGAUUCAAUAAUGUUGUUAUUCUUCAAUAA
rnacentral:lncRNA from 1 species